AGUCACUCUUUCAAAACGUAAGCAGAAGAUUUACUCAUAUUCAACCAGAGUGCUCUUGCUUCAGAUUAACCGACCUUCUGCCUGUGGUUUCAGUGAAAUCCGACAAUAGUUGCUGCAAAGACUCACCAAAUGGCAACAAGACAGAGGGGAACUCUGAUCCUUCACUUCUUAAGGAUAGUUUUGGCAUUGCCACUGAAAACAAGUGGUACGGCAACAUUUGGUCGUGUUGACAGUAUAAUUGAAGUGACAACUGGUGCAAUCAAAGGAAAUCUCACUGAAGUCCAGCUACCAAUAGUCACUUACAAUCAGAAAUCCCCUUUGAAUAUCACAGAAGAGAUCAAGGUGGCUCAAGCAACAACCGGCUUCCUAGAUACUCUGAAAAUGAAUUCAGGAAUGACAAACACCAAAAAAGUAACUGAAAGCAUUACAUCUCCAGUGUUCACAAGAUCCACAAAAAAACAGGACAUGGAACAAACACUCCUAACCUCUACUACUAGAAUUACCCAUUUAUCUACAGAGGCGAAGCUCAUUUCUACCACAACCACAUCUUCAACCUCAUCUCUUGAAAACAAACCUAUAAACAUAGCGCUUAGUGAUCCUUGCAACAAAUGACCAACUUAUUGUCUGUCUGGACACUGAAACUGAUGUUUGGGUGAGACUUCCCAGGUAAGGAAAAAAGUGUUUAUCAACCAAUUUUAUUUAAAUAAUGUGACUGAUUAUUAUUUACUAUUUCAUCACAUUGAUCUGUCCUUAACAGGUGGGGGAAUCAAGAGGAGUUAUAUAGUGAGUGUCCUACCUCCGGGCUGAAUCGAAGUUGUUCUUCACAAAAUCAUUGAAAGGCCUCAUGUGUUCUUCCUUUGUAAAUAAGACAUGGUUGGCAAUGCUCUGCAAAAUCUUAAGGAAAGACCAAAUUUACAAUUAUGACAACCAUUGAUGUAACCCUCCAAAGAUCAAGUUUUGAGACAGAGUUUUCUUUACACAGUCAUGUCCUUAAUCAAGAUUGUCUGAUCUGAUAAAAAAUGAAAUUAUUGAAAUUAAACAUUUGUUGAUGCAAACUGGGCCCCACAUCAUACUGUACACUACCGGUGUUCUCCUUUUCGCAGCAACCACACUUGCAUAAUCCUAAUUACAACACUCAUCUAUGAAGAAAGGUAGAGGAAGACCACUCCGCCAGCUUACCAUAAAAGAAGGAUGAAAACAACUCAAGCAUCCUUUGCAAUGCCUUUGUCAGCACCUGUCUUCCUAACAAUACUACCUCAGAACCCUCACCUGAAUUCGGCACUCAGAGGAAUACAAAAUAAGAAAUCGCUUGUGACGUUUUUACAGAAGUAUGUAUUACGUACUGAGAGGCACUUGUUAACAUAAUUCCCUCUUGGAACUAAUAGUUGAUGGGUGUCGAUGGUGUUUUCUGAGUAGCGGACUUGCAGUUGACUUCCUGUUUUUGGCAAGUGAAAAGUAAAGUAUUUUGCAAAACA